rnacentral:misc_RNA from 1 species
UCGAUGUAAAGGAUGACGUCAACUUCGGUAGUCGCGACAUUGGUCGCGAAGUCGAUAUGAGUGGCGACGUUGAAAGUAAGCGCCUCGGGUCCAUGAAGAACGGUGACUCCGUCAGCGGCAAAUAGCGUAGCCAUGCGCCCCGUGUCGAGUGCGGUGAAUUCGCCAGUUAAGGAAAGAACGGUCUUGUUCCCCGCUGUUGAUGCGACGUCGACCAUCUUCCGAUCUGUUGCUUUAGACAUCGCCAAGCGAAAGACUUGAUAGCCGGUCGCAGAGGAAAUCAGAGGCGUUGGAACCGGAAUGUUCAGGAAGAGGUCCACCCAGUCCGAUACGCCAUCGAUCGGAAGGUUAGAAAGAUCACCCGUCGAGGAUGCGACAUAGCACUUCACUCGAUCGUCGCUGG